rnacentral:rRNA from 1 species
GCGGAAUGCUUUACACAUGCAAGUCGAACGGCAGCACGGGUGCUUGCACCUGGUGGCGAGUGGCGAACGGGUGAGUAAUACAUCGGAACGUACCCAGUCGUGGGGGAUAACGUAGCGAAAGUUACGCUAAUACCGCAUACGUCCUGAGGGGGAAAGCGGGGGAGCGUAAGGCCUCGCGCGACUGGAGCGGUCCGAUGGCGGAUCAGCUAGUUGGUGGGGUAAGGGCUACCAAGGGGACGAUCAGUAGGUGGUCUGAGAGGAUGAUCAGCCACAUUGGGACUGAGACACGGCCCAAACUCCUACGGGAGGCAGCAGUGGGGAAUAUUGGACAAUGGGGCAACCCUGAUCCAGCCAUGCCGCGUGAGUGAUGAAGGCCCUAGGGUUGUAAAGCUCUUUUGUGCGGGAAGAUAAUGACGGUACCGCAAGAAUAAGCCCCGGCUAACUUCGUGCCAGCCGCCGCAGUAA